UGGCUCAGGAUGAACGCUGGCGGCGUGCCUAAUACAUGCAAGUCGAGCGAACAGAUAAGGAGCUUGCUCCUUUGACGUUAGCGGCGGACGGGUGAGUAACACGUGGGUAACCUACCUAUAAGACUGGAAUAACUCCGGGAAACCGGGGCUAAUGCCGGAUAACAUUUAGAACCGCAUGGUUCUAAAGUGAAAGAUGGUUUUGCUAUCACUUAUAGAUGGACCCGCGCCGUAUUAGCUAGUUGGUAAGGUAAUGGCUUACCAAGGCAACGAUACGUAGCCGACCUGAGAGGGUGAUCGGCCACACUGGAACUGAGACACGGUCCAGACUCCUACGGGAGGCAGCAGUAGGGAAUCUUCCGCAAUGGGCGAAAGCCUGACGGAGCAACGCCGCGUGAGUGAUGAAGGGUUUCGGCUCGUAAAACUCUGUUAUUAGGGAAGAACAAACGUGUAAGUAACUGUGCACGUCUUGACGGUACCUAAUCAGAAAGCCACGGCUAACUACGUGCCAGCAGCCGCGGUAAUACGUAGGUGGCAAGGUUAUCCGGAAUUAUUGGGCGUAAAGCGCGCGUAGGCGGUUUCUUAAGUCUGAUGUGAAAGCCCACGGCUCAACCGUGGAGGGUCAUUGGAAACUGGGAGACUUGAGUGCAGAAGAGGAAAGUGGAAUUCCAUGUGUAGCGGUGAAAUGCG
rnacentral:rRNA from 1 species